CACGUAGGGCGCAAGCGUUGUCCGGAUUUAUUGGGCGUAAAGAGCUCGUAGGCGGUUCGUCGCGUCGGCUGUGAAAUCCCGAGGCUCAACCUCGGGUCUGCAGUCGAUACGGGCGGGCUGGGAUUCGGUAGGGGAGACUGGAAUUCCUGGUGUAGCGGUGAAAUGCGCAGAUAUCAGGAGGAACACCGGUGGCGAAGGCGGGUCUCUGGGCCGAUAUCGACGCUGAGGAGCGAAAGCGUGGGGAUCAAACAGG
rnacentral:rRNA from 1 species